rnacentral:lncRNA from 1 species
GAAUGCAUUUCCAUCUUAUGAGUAGAAACAAACAAUAUUAGAGAGCAAAGACAUGGCUUUAAGUGGAAAAGUGGAGAGUGAAGUAGAGAUUCAAACACCUGCUGCUAAGUUCUAUAAUUUUUAUAGAAAGCAACUUGAACAUAUUCCUAAUAUAUCAACACACAUACAUGGAGCUAGAGUGCAUGAAGGUGAUUGGGAAAAUGUUGGUUCUGUCAAACAGUGGGAAUAUACAAUAGGUAAUUAAUAAUAUGUUUCAUAGCUUUAUUUUAUCUAUUGCUCAAAGGUAGUGUACAUAUUAUAAAACUUAGAUAAUUAUUAUUCUUCUCUCCCUUUUUUUAUUAUAAGCAUCAUAGUCAAUUCAAAAUUUAGCUAAUUAUUAUCGAUGUUGUAUCAGGCGAGUUGAUAACAUGACUUUGUACAUAAAUAAAACUUGAGUUUGAUUUCUGAUAUCGUCUUCAUCUAAAAUAUUGGAUGCAUGUCUCCGCUAUUAAAUCUAUGAUUAUUAUAUUAUCAUAGCAAAGUAAAAAGGGUCUUAGCCUUGUGGAUAUCCUUUGGAACACCUACGAUGCUCAAAGAAGAAAAAAAAACCAAUAUUGUCUUUUAUAUAAUAUUUUUUUUUGAAACAAUGUCUUUUAUAUAAUUAACCAACAUAAUGGAGUUGGGAUUCUCUCCAUUAAUGUGUCACUAAUGAUAGAUAUUUAGGUCUUAAUCUUUGAUAUAAUAGAGUUUGGCCGUUAACCGGUGCAUUAGAAAAAAAUUAUUUUAACGAUCACUCAUUUAAAUGAAUCUUAGUUAUAUCUCGAUAGAGAUUAUUUAGACUGAUCUUUUUGUCCUGAACAUUUCGGUACACAUUUUAGUGAGAUAUGUACCGGCAUACUGUCGAGCUGAAUAAUUUUAAUAAGUCCAGAUUUGAUGCAUGCCGUAAUAAAAUUAUGUAAAUUGAUCAAGUAAAUUAAAUAUGGGGCAUCAAAUUUAUUACGGGGGGUAUAUUAGACAAACAUAUAUACGUGCUAAUAGCAAAUAUUCCAAUCAAUAUUAUGCAAGCAAAUAUUUGGUCAAUCAUUAUUUUCAUAUUAUAAUUACAACAACCUACUAAAUUUGAAUAUAUUUAAACAAUUAUUUGUUUGAUUUCUUCAAAAGUAUCGUAAUCUGAAAAUUUGCUUGUGGAGAUAAUGUUUGUUUAGUUUGUUUGAUUAAGACAGAGUUUGUUUAGUUUGUUAUUCAAUUGGGUUAGUUAGUUACUAAGGGUUAACCAAAGUUACUUAUGGUUAACCAUGCUUGAGAUUCAAGUAAUCAUACAAUGGAAUGCAUUUCCAUCUUAUGAGUAGAAUGAAACAAUAUUAGAGAGCAAAGACAUGGCUUUAAGUGGAAAAGUGGAGAGUGAAGUAGAAAUUCAAACACCUGCUGCUAAGUUCUAUAAUUUUUAUAGAAAGCAACUUGAACAUAUUCCUAAUAUAUCAACACACAUACAUGGAGCUAGAGUGCAUGAAGGUGAUUGGGAAAAUGUUGGUUCUGUCAAAC